UACGUAGGGGGCAAGCGUUGUCCGGAUUUACUGGGCGUAAAGCGCGCGUAGGUGGAACGAUCAGUCCGGUCUGAAAGCCCCCGGCUCAACCGGGGAGGGUGGCUGGAAACUGUCGUUCUUGAGGGCGAGAGAGGAGGGUGGAAUUCCUGGUGUAGCGGUGAAAUGCGCAGAUAUCAGGAAGAACACCAAUGGCGAAGGCAGCUCCCUGGGACGGUACUGACGCUGAGACGCGAAAGCGUGGGGGAGCGAACAGG
rnacentral:rRNA from 1 species